rnacentral:sRNA from 4 species
UUCGACUAAGGUUCGAUUCGAGCGUCAGCGAGAAAGCGUUGCCGCAGGCAACGACCCGAAGGGCGAAGCGCGCAGCGCUGAGUCAUCCUUCCCCCACCACCA